AUGCCGCGGUGAAUACGUUCCCGGGCCUUGUACACACCGCCCGUCACACCACGAGAGUUUGCAACACCCGAAGUCGGUGAGGUAACCUUUAUGGAGCCAGCCGCCGAAGGUGGGGCAGAUGAUUGGGGUGAAGUCGUAACAAGGUAGCCGUAUCGGAAGGUGCGGCUGGAUCACCUCCUUUCU
rnacentral:rRNA from 1 species